rnacentral:rRNA from 1 species
AACGAACGCUGGCGGCAUGCCCAACACAUGCAAGUCGAGCGAGACCUUCGGGUCUAGUGGCGCACGGGUGCGUAACGCGUGGGAACCUGCCCUUAGGUUCGGAAUAACUCCCCGAAAGGGGUGCUAAUACCGGAUAAUGUCUUCGGACCAAAGAUUUAUCGCCUUUGGAUGGGCCCGCGUUGGAUUAGCUAGUUGGUAGGGUAAAAGCCUACCAAGGCGACGAUCCAUAGCUGGUCUGAGAGGAUGAUCAGCCACACUGGGACUGAGACACGGCCCAGACUCCUACGGGAGGCAGCAGUGGGGAAUAUUGGACAAUGGGCGAAAGCCUGAUCCAGCAAUGCCGCGUGAGUGAUGAAGGCCUUAGGGUUGUAAAGCUCUUUUACCCGGGAUGAUAAUGACAGUACCGGGAGAAUAAGCUCCGGCUAACUCCGUG